UAAAAAAGUUUUUUUGUUACACUUAUGGAUAGAAGGAAAUAAAAGUAUCAGCCAAGGCAGACAGUACCCUUACCUUUCUAAAUUCCUGCCCGUCCUUAGAUCUAUAAAUGUUUCUCCCAUUCCCAGCAGCUGCACCCACCUUAGUUGUGGGAAAGCACCUGCAAUCCUUGUCUUUCUUGUUACGCAACAUGAUGGGGCACAGACCCAGCCCUGGGGUCCUUAACCAUGGCACGUGCAGCUUCCCCUGCUAGCAGUAGCAUGCUGUCACUCUUGAGGGCUAGUAAGCUUACUGGCCCCUGCUGAAGGUCUUCCAGGCCAUGCUGCCUUGAACGGGCCACUCACCUCUUGUGCCUGAGCUACUUUUAAGUUUAGUUCUCCACUUACACUGUUCACAUUUAAGUGCUCAACAGCCAUAGGUAGCUAGUGGCUAUUGUAUCGAAUGGCUUAAAGUUAUAGAACAUUUCCACCACCACAGAAAAUUCUAUUUGGACCACACUACUCAGACAAGAAGGAAUGGGGGUUUCGGCUCUAAGGUACUAACAUCAUGACCUUGGACAAGAAAUGCUGUGUUUCCACCUCAGUGUUCCCAUCUAUAAAAUUAGGAUAACCACAGUAACCACUUCAAAGGGUCAGGAUCAAAUGAGAUACUGCAGUUCAAGUACUUAGCACAGUUCUUGACACAUGUUGGUGAUCAGUAAUUGAGAGUUCUCACUGGUGGAGAAAUAUUCUACAAAGAGGAAUGAUACGGCUAGGCUCUGUGUCCCCACCCAAAUCUCAUCUUGAAUUGUAAUACCCAGGUGUUGAGGGAGGGACCUGGUGGG
rnacentral:lncRNA from 1 species